GUUGUAUGGUUAAGUGACUAAGCGUACAUGGUGGAUGCCUUGGCAGUCAGAGGCGAUGAAGGACGUACUAACCUGCGAUAAGCCGUGAGCAGUCGGUAAGAGACAUUACGACUCACGGAUUUCCGAAUGGGGAAACCCACUUAGCAUAAGCUAGGUAUCGCUGCGUGAAUACAUAGCGUAGCGAGGCGAACCGGGAGAACUGAAACAUCUAAGUACCCCGAGGAAAAGAAAUCAACCGAGAUUCCCUCAGUAGCGGCGAGCGAACGGGGAUUAGCCCUUAAGCAUCUUGGAAGUUAGUGGAACGGUCCUGGAAAGGCCGGCGAUACAGGGUGAUAGCCCCGUACACGAAAACAACCUUGAUGUGAAAUCGAGUAGGGCGGGACACGUGACAUCCUGUCUGAAUAUGGGGGGACCAUCCUCCAAGGCUAAAUACUCCUGACUGACCGAUAGUGAACCAGUACCGUGAGGGAAAGGCGAAAAGAACCCCUGUGAGGGGAGUGAAAUAGAACCUGAAACCGUGUACGUACAAGCAGUGGGAGCCCUUCGGGGUGACUGCGUACCUUUUGUAUAAUGGGUCAGCGACUUACAUUUUGUAGCGAGGUUAACCGUAUAGGGGAGCCGUAGGGAAACCGAGUCUUAACUGGGCGUCUAGUUGCAAGGUGUAGACCCGAAACCGGGUGAUCUAGCCAUGGGCAGGUUGAAGGUUGAGUAACAUCAACUGGAGGACCGAACCCACUAACGUUGCAAAGUUAGGGGAUGACCUGUGGCUGGGGGUGAAAGGCCAAUCAAACUCGGAGAUAGCUGGUUCUCCCCGAAAGCUAUUUAGGUAGCGCCUCGGACGAAUACUACUGGGGGUAGAGCACUGUUUGGGCUAGGGGGUCAUCCCGACUUACCAACCCCAUGCAAACUCCGAAUACCAGUAAGUAAUAUCCGGGAGACACACGGCGGGUGCUAACGUCCGUCGUGAAGAGGGAAACAACCCAGACCGCCGGCUAAGGUCCCAAAGUUCUGGUUAAGUGGGAAACGAUGUGGGAAGGCUCAGACAGCUAGGAUGUUGGCUUAGAAGCAGCCAUCAUUUAAAGAAAGCGUAAUAGCUCACUAGUCGAGUCGGCCUGCGCGGAAGAUGUAACGGGGCUCAAACCAGGCACCGAAGCCGCGGAUUCACACUAAGUGUGAGUGGUAGGGGAGCGUUCUGUAAGUCUGCGAAGGUGUGUCGAGAGGCAUGCUGGAGAUAUCAGAAGUGCGAAUGCUGACGUAAGUAACGAUAAAGGGGGUGAAAAGCCUCCUCGCCGGAAGACCAAGGGUUCCUGUCCAACGUUAAUCGGGGCAGGGUGAGUCGACCCCUAAGGUGAGGCCGAAAGGCGUAAUCGAUGGGAAGCAGGUUAAUAUUCCUGCACGACUUGUAAUUGCGAUGGGGGGACGGAGAAGGCUAGGUGGGCCAGGCGACGGUUGUCCUGGUGAAAGUGCGUAGGUGGUGUUUCUAGGCAAAUCCGGAGACACAACACUGAGACACGAGACGAACACACUACGGUGUGGAAGCCAUUGAUGCCCUGCUUCCAGGAAAAGCCUCUAAGCUUCAGAUUACAAGUCAUCGUACCCCAAACCGACACAGGUGGUCGGGUAGAGAAUACCAAGGCGCUUGAGAGAACUCGGGUGAAGGAACUAGGCAAAAUAGAACCGUAACUUCGGGAGAAGGUUCGCUCUUGAUGGUGAAGUCCCUUGCGGAUGGAGCUGUCGGGAGUCGCAGUGACCAGAUGGCUGGGACUGUUUAUCAAAAACACAGCACUCUGCAAACACGAAAGUGGACGUAUAGGGUGUGACACCUGCCCGGUGCCGGAAGGUUAAUUGAUGGGGUUAGCGCAAGCGAAGCUCUUGAUCGAAGCCCCGGUAAACGGCGGCCGUAACUAUAACGGUCCUAAGGUAGCGAAAUUCCUUGUCGGGUAAGUUCCGACCUGCACGAAUGGUGUAACCAUGGCCAUGCUGUCUCCACCCGAGACUCAGUGAAAUCGAAUUCGCCGUGAAGAUGCGGUGUACCCGCGGCUAGACGGAAAGACCCCGUGAACCUUUACUACAGCUUGGCACUGAACAUUGAACCUACAUGUGUAGGAUAGGUGGGAGGCUUUGAAGGCGUGACGCCAGUUGCGCUGGAGCCGUCCUUGAAAUACCACCCUUGUAUGUUUGAUGUUCUAACGCAGGGCCCUGAAUCGGGCUCGCGGACAGUGCCUGGUGGGUAGUUUGACUGGGGCGGUCUCCUCCCAAAGAGUAACGGAGGAGCACGAAGGUUGGCUAAUCCUGGUCGGACAUCAGGAGGUUAGUGCAAUGGCAUAAGCCAGCUUAACUGCGAGACGGACAGGUCGAGCAGGUACGAAAGUAGGUCAUAGUGAUCCGGUGGUUCUGAAUGGAAGGGCCAUCGCUCAACGGAUAAAAGGUACUCCGGGGAUAACAGGCUGAUACCGCCCAAGAGUUCAUAUCGACGGCGGUGUUUGGCACCUCGAUGUCGGCUCAUCACAUCCUGGGGCUGAAGUCGGUCCCAAGGGUAUGGCUGUUCGCCAUUUAAAGUGGUACGCGAGCUGGGUUCAGAACGUCGUGAGACAGUUCGGUCCCUAUCUGCCGUGGGCGUUGGAUGAUUGAAGGGAGUUGCUCCUAGUACGAGAGGACCGGAGUGAACGAACCUCUGGUGUUCGGGUUGUCACGCCAGUGGCACUGCCCGGUAGCUAAGUUCGGAAUCGAUAACCGCUGAAAGCAUCUAAGCGGGAAGCGAGCCCUGAGAUGAGUCAUCCCUGACCCCUUGAGGGUCCUAAAGGGCCGUUGGAGACCACAACGUUGAUAGGUGGGGUGUGUAAGCGUAGCGAUACGUUGAGCUAACCCAUACUAAUUACCCGUGAGGCUUAACCAUACAACACCCAAGAAGUGUUCU
rnacentral:rRNA from 1 species